AGAUUGAACGCUGGCGGCAGGCCUAACACAUGCAAGUCGAGCGGCAGCACGGGUACUUGUACCUGGUGGCGAGCGGCGGACGGGUGAGUAAUGCCUAGGAAUCUGCCUGGUAGUGGGGGAUAACGCUCGGAAACGGACGCUAAUACCGCAUACGUCCUACGGGAGAAAGCAGGGGACCUUCGGGCCUUGCGCUAUCAGAUGAGCCUAGGUCGGAUUAGCUAGUUGGUGGGGUAAUGGCUCACCAAGGCGACGAUCCGUAACUGGUCUGAGAGGAUGAUCAGUCACACUGGAACUGAGACACGGUCCAGACUCCUACGGGAGCAGCAGGUGGGAA
rnacentral:rRNA from 1 species